rnacentral:piRNA from 1 species
UCGACUCAACCAAGCAGCUGUGAG